AACGAACGCUGGCGGCGUGCCUAACACAUGCAAGUCGAACGGGAUUAGGGGCUUGCUCCUAAUCUAGUGGCGCACGGGUGAGUAACGCGUAGAUAAUCUGCCUGAUGAUCUGGGAUAACAGUUCGAAAGGACUGCUAAUACCGGAUAAGCCCACGGGUUCUUUGGAAUCUGCGGGAAAAGGGGGGGACCUUUUGGCCUUCUGUCAUCAGAUGAGUCUGCGUACCAUUAGCUAGUUGGUAGGGUAAAGGCCCACCAAACCGACGAUGGGUAGCCGGCCUGAGAGGGUGUACGGCCACACUGGAACUGAGACACGGUCCAGACUCCUACGGGAGGCAGCAGCUAAGAAUCUUCCGCAAUGGGGGCAACCCUGACGGAGCGACGCCGCGUGGACGAUGAAGGCCGUAAGGUUGUAAAGUCCUUUUGCAGGAGAAGAAUAAGCGGGGGAGUGGAAAGCCUCCGUGAUGACGUUAUCCUGCGAAUAAGCCCCGGCCAAUUACGUGCCAGCCGCCGCAGUAAUAC
rnacentral:rRNA from 1 species